AUGGUAAUGUACAUCAUAUAUUUUUUUUAGUUUUAUCAUUCUCUUAUUUUAGAAGUUACAGGGGGGGGGGGGGGACACACAUUUUACCACUUUGGAAGUGUCUCUCGCGCAAACUAUUCAGUUUAGAAAAAAAUGAUAUUAGAAACCUCAAUAUCAUUUUUGAAGACCUAUCCAUAGAUACCCCACACGUAUGGGUUUGUUGAAAAAAAAAAUUUUUUUGAGCGAUUUAUGACGUUUUAAAAAAAAACUACUUACUAGAUCUCGUUCAAACCAAUUUUCGGUGGAAGUUUACAUGGUAAUGUACAUCUUAUUUUUUUUUUAGUUUUAUCAUUCUGUUAUUUUAGAAGUUACAGGGGGGGG